UAACUAUUGAUUCUGAUCAUAUGAGUGCACACGAUAUGAGUGCAAGGCUCUCUGUAAGAGGGGGUGAGCUAAACAAGGCAAGAGAGUGGGCAGUGUGAUUUGAAAGCAAGGAUUUGAAUUUUGAGAGGUGGAAUAUCUAUGGUUUCAUAUAAGCCGGACUUUAUAUAACCAGUUCGAUGCUUAUACAAGUCUCAACACCUUGGAUUAUCUUUUCAUCCAUUUGAUUUAUACAAGAGUCUUAUAGCUGAUAACUUUUCUCUCUUUGCUUUUUACGGAAUCAGUAUGUGCGUUGGAUUGGGAAACGUUUCCGUUGUUAUAUAUUUGAAUAGGUGGAACAUGAUUUGGGAUUUAUGGAUUAACCCUAACUUUGUAUACUUAUGUAGCUCUUGCUUAGGUGACGUCAUCUUUGAAUUGGAGUACAUACUUCUGCUGGUCUUCCGGCCCCGUCAUGGCAUCGCUCCUACAACGAUUGCGGCAUAACAUAAUUGCAUUUAGUUAGUGUAUUUUUGUUUAAUUAUUGCUCUCGAGGUAUGAUUAGACAAAUACAUACUAACCCAGUUCUGGUAUGAUUUUCACGAGUAUUGUCACAUCGUCCACCAAACCAA